CAGUAGCCGCGGUAAUACGUAGGUGGCAAGCGUUGUCCGGAAUUAUUGGGCGUAAAGGGCUCGCAGGCGGUUUCUUAAGUCUGAUGUGAAAGCCCCCGGCUCAACCGGGGAGGGUCAUUGGAAACUGGGAAACUUGAGUGCAGAAGAGGAGAGUGGAAUUCCACGUGUAGCGGUGAAAUGCGUAGAGAUGUGGAGGAACACCAGUGGCGAAGGCGACUCUCUGGUCUGUAACUGACGCUGAGGAGCGAAAGCGUGGGGAGCGAACAGGAUCAGAGACCCCUGUAGUCCCUGUCUCUUAUAC
rnacentral:rRNA from 1 species